rnacentral:siRNA from 1 species
UUAUAUUAUGUCUUUGACCUAUU